rnacentral:rRNA from 1 species
CGCGAACGUUGGCGGCGUGCCUAACACAUGCAAGUCGUGGGGCAGCAGGCUACUGCCUUCGGGUAGUAGUGCUGGCGACCGGCAAACGGGUGAGUAACACGUAGCUUACCUACCCAUAGGUUGGGGAUAACAUCCCGAAAGGGGUGCUAAUACCCAAUAAUGAGGAGACUCCAAAGCCCUUAUGGGCGCCUAUGGAUGGGGCUGCGUCCCAUCAGCUAGUUGGUGAGGUAAUGGCUCACCAAGGCUACGACGGGUAACCGGUCUGAGAGGAUGACCGGUCACAGUGGGACUGAGACACGGCCCGCACCCCUACGGGGGGCAGCAGUGGGGAAUAUUGGGCAAUGGCCGAAAGGCUGACCCAGCAACGCCGCGUGGUGGAUGAAGCCCUUCGGGGUGUAAACACCUUUUCUGGGGGAAGAUAAUGACGGUACCCCAGGAAUAAGGGACGGCUAACUACGUGCCAGCAGCCGCGGUAAUACGUAG